rfam:Aspergillus niger DNA, contig: scaffold669_007, strain: An76, whole genome shotgun sequence.
GACCAAUUGGCCUAGUGGUUAUGGCGUCUGUCUUACAUAAGCAACAUAAAUGUGAACACAGAAGGUCGCAGGUUCGAUCCCUGCAUUGGUCA